rnacentral:rRNA from 1 species
AUUGAACGCUGGCGGAAUGCUUUACACAUGCAAGUCGAACGGCAGCACGGGGGCAACCCUGGUGGCGAGUGGCGAACGGGUGAGUAAUACAUCGGAACGUGCCCGGUCGUGGGGGAUAACGUAGCGAAAGUUACGCUAAUACCGCAUCCGAUCUGAGGAUGAAAGCGGGGGACCUUCGGGCCUCGCGCGAUCGGAGCGGCCGAUGUCAGCUUAGGUAGUUGGUGGGGUAAAGGCCUACCAAGCCGACGAUCUGUAGCUGGUCUGAGAGGACGACCAGCCACACUGGGACUGAGACACGGCCCAGACUCCUACGGGAGGCAGCAGUGGGGAAUUUUGGACAAUGGGCGCAAGCCUGAUCCAGCCAUUCCGCGUGCAGGACGAAGGCCUUCGGGUUGUAAACUGCUUUUGUAUGGAACGAAAAGGCUCUGGCUAAUACCUGGGGCUUAUGACGGUACCGUAAGAAUAAGCACCGGCUAACUACGUG